ensembl:rRNA 5S_rRNA 5S ribosomal RNA
GUCUAUGACCACACAACCCUGAACACACCAAUCUUGUCUGGUCUUGGAAGCUAAGCAGAGUCAGGCCUGGUUAGUACUUAGGGAGGAGAAACAACAUUUUUAAAAAUC